CCAGUUAUUUGUUUACGGGUUGACCUCCUCUACCAGACUAUGAGAUGCUCAUCAGAUAGGAUACUGCUUUAGUCCUCCUGAUGUCCUCUGCAAGACAAGCCAGAAACUGUCCCCAAACAGGCUCAGACUGGGGAUCCUGGCAGCCCUCCUAGAACCCUGGCCCUGGAUCUGCUAUGCCGUCUCCCUGAAAAGCUCAGGAUAGGUAAGGUUCCUAGAGGGUAGGAUGACUGGGCCUCUGGCGCUACCCUGAAGCCCUUCUUCAUCACUAACUAUCCCAUCCAAAGCCAGAAAUUCCCAAGCUGGGUCUGCUGGAUCUCGGGGUUAAAGGACAACAUGAGGAAGAAAGAUGCCACUCCCCCCCAGGGCCAGUCAGAGGUCCAUCUCCCAUUAGAGAUCAGGCCACUGGUCAGCUCAAGAUGAAAUGAAGGUGGAGGACCCUGGUGGGAAGUGUAUGGGUAUCACAUGGCACAGAGUCAGAGGUCCACAAAGAAUCAACUUUUGCCCACAUCUUCCCAGGGGCAUCAGGGACGAAGUCUCUCAGUAAGGUCAAGGGCAGGCUCUGUUUCUAGGUGAGGAUAGGGACUUGGCUCCUGGCAAGAGUGGUCCGUGUAUAAACGAUGCUGGAUCCAUGAAAGUUUAAUAAAUUAAUGAAACCCCUGCUCUCACCUGUGGUCCAGGCUGAGAAUCUCUGCAGGGAAAGUUGAUCCAAGCCUGGGACUGUGCAAAGGAUGCCCCCACCUGGGCUGAGAACAAGAGCCCUGGGCAGUUUAUUGGGAAAUCAAUAAGGAGGCGGGCCCUGUCUGGGAGGCCGACACAUUGUAUACAGGCCCUCUGCAAACACAAUCAUCUCCUUGGUUAUUAAUGGGCCUGCUCACUGCCUCUUCAUUAGUGCUCAAAUAUCAACAGAAAACCGUUUACUUACCAUGGGCUCCUGCUCACGCCAAGCAAAUUUGGACAGGGCUAGUCAAACAGGGAGCUUGUUGUUGGGCUAAUGACAGAGCCCAGUGUAAAGUUUAGCAGCCACAGAAGCAGGCAGAGAGGGCAGUGGCCUGCGCCUGCCCCCAGCGGUGCCCCAUGAGAACCAGGUGGGAGAGGAGUGGGGCCCAGGCAGAAGUGGCCAUCCUGAGCCCCACUGCACAGCCGUGGCUCCACGUGUGAACUCUGCUGAGCCCCUCACACCGUGUGGUCAGUCGCAAUUGCCUCAGAUCUUCACAGUGAUCCCGGGAACCAGGCCCGGUAGGAAGCAUGAGGCAACGUGGGGAAUCCUCAGUUUCCCCAUCUGUAAAAUAGAAAAUGCAACAGUACUUACCUCACAGAGUUAUGGUGAAGACCGAGACAGUGCACAGCACAAUGCUUAGUCCCCAGAAUCCCCUUUUGCAGAUGAGAAAACUGAGGCUUGAAUGAAUUUGAGACUCACUCAAGGUUGUGUGCUUAGGAAGUAACAGAGUCAGCCUGGAGGCCACAGCUAUUGAAUUCAGGUUCAGGGAGAUAUUCCUAAGCAACCCCCACCCCAGGCUAUCUGCUGCCCAUCCUGGCCCAAGAUGCCCUAUGAUGCCAGGAGCACAUCUUGCCCCAAGAUCACAUCCCACCUGAAGUGGCCCAAGCUGCCUGAGCACUCAGCAUGGACCAGCCAAGGCUGACCUACCCUGAGAGGACUCCCCUCCUACUUGCUCUUGUUCCCAGUAUCUCUUUGGGAAUGUCACUGACAGGGGGUGUCCCUUCAUCCUCGCCCAGCCUUGGCCCCUAAGAAAGCGCUGUCUCUUCCUGGAGUCUCCCCAGAACAACUCAUCUGGGCUCAAUGAGGGAGCAGCCUGGCAAGUUUCCUGAAUGGCCUGAGUGCCAAGUUCCUCUGCCGAGUGGCCCAAGCUUGGGGGAGGUGCCCCAAGCACCUGUUUAACAUAGCAGAUGCCUGUUUAAUGUCUUCCCCUGAGGAUAUUAGAGGCUCUCAAGUUGAGCCCAGGACUCACUAGAAAGAAGAAACCUCUGGUGGCUGCACAAUCAGAGAGGCUGAGGGAAGGGGGCAGGGAGCAGAAGAUCCCGUUCCUGGAGCUGCACCUGUGACCUUGGCAGACCUUGCAUCACAUGCCUGCUGCAAACAGUUGACAAGUUGGGCACUAGGGCAGCCCCAGGUUAGGCCUUGGGGAUGCCAAGCUACACCCCCAUGUGCAGAAGGUUUGGGUCUAUUAUGAAGGUACACAAGCAAACAUGCCAGGUGAUCAGAGCUAAAAGGUCCACAGGAAGGGCCUAGAGGUCAGGGACAAAAGGGGACUUGGUUCUGCCUGGGGAACUAAAGAUGACUUCCUAGAACUAGAAGGAUGAGACUGAGUUUCCGGUCAAGGAGAGAAGACAGGCCUCCCAAGUCCAAGAGCAGUGCAUGCAGACAGAAGGCAUGAGAGAGCAGGACACAGAGAGCGGGCAGGGAAAACGGGACCAGUCCU
rnacentral:lncRNA from 1 species